rnacentral:rRNA from 1 species
ACUGCUCAGUAACACGCGGAUAACCUGCCCAAGGGUCUGGGAUAACCCCGGGAAACUGGGGAUAAUACCGGAUGGAUCACUAGUGCUGGAAUGCUUGGUGGUCGAAAGGCAACGCCUUUGGAUGGGUCUGCGGCGGAUUAGGUUGACGCCGGUGUAACGUACCGGCGUGCCUGUAAUCCGUACGGGUUGUGGGAGCAAGAGCCCGGAGAUGGAUUCUGAGACACGAAUCCAGGCCCUACGGGGCGCAGCAGGCGCGAAAACUCUACAAUGCAGGCAACUGCGAUAGGGGGACAUCGAGUGGCAUCCACCUUGGGUGCCUGUCCAACCGUCUAAAAAACGGUUGUUAGCAAGGGCCGGGUAAGACCGGUGCCAGCUGCCGCGGUAAUACCGGCGGCUCGAGUGGUGGCCGAUAUUAUUGAGUCUAAAGGGUCCGUAGCCGGCUUUGCAAGUCCCCUGGGAAAUCCAGCGGCUUAACCGUUGGGCUUUCAUGGGAUACUACAUUGCUUGGGACUGGGAGAGGUAGGAGGUACUCGGGGGGUAGGGGUGAAAUCCUGUAAUCCUCCGGGGACCACCGGUGGCGAAGGCGUCCUACCAGAACAGGUCCGACGGUGAGGGACGAAAGCUAGGGGCACGAACCGGAUUAGAUACCCGGGUAGUCCUAGCCGUAAACGAUGCCCGCUAGGUGUCACGACGGUCGUGAAUCGUCGUGGUGCCGUAGGGAAGCCGCGAAGCGGGCCACUUGGGAAGUACGGCCGCAAGGCUGAAACUUAAAGGAAUUGGCGGGGGAGCAC